AGUCUUCCUCCUGCUGAAGCGUAAACCUUGGGCUCUGAAACUGUCCCAGCAGCCCACAAGUUCUGGUCAGCCCCGCAAGCUGGAGAGGGUUCAAGUGGGAGCCCGGGGAGUGACGGGCACUGAAGGGCGACUUGAGAGCGCUGAACUAUUUUAGGUCAUAGUGACUUCUAACUUGGGGAGGGGGUAGGACCACUCAUACUGAAGACACAGAAGAUAAUUUGAAGUAAUAAAUCUCCCCAACUGGACGUUUCUAAUUGCCACAUGUAAACUUCUCCUGCAUCUGUCUCAUCACCACUCUAGGGCACCCUCCUCAUCCUCUCUUAUGUAAACUGUUAAAAUAGCCUCUUUGCCUUCAGUGUCACUCGAUUCCAAUCUAUGCUCUACAUAGCUGUCAAAAUGGGUUUCUUUUUAAGCCCAAGGCUGACCACUUCCCUACCCUCUCCAAAAAACUCCAAUGGCUCCCUGUGGCCUGGAGGAUCACAUAUGAACUCUUGGCUCGAUCCAGUCCCCUUCACAAGGGGCCCGGGUUUCCUUCCCCGCCCUCUCUGGUCCAGCCAGCUAACCUAGCUGAUCACUCAAUGCCUUUGCCCCGGCCCUCUCUCACCCCGGAACGUGACUGCCUCAUUUCCCUGGGGGAGACACAGCUCUGGAACUCCCUGCAUUAUCCUCUGAAAGGUGGGGAAUCAAGGUUUAUGCCAGGCUGCCUCCGGGUAUUCCAGGGCAGAGCAGAGAUGACAAGGAAUACGGGAGCUCAGAAAGAGCUUCCGCAGUGUGGGAAGGCUGCCCAGAGGAGGAGGAAUAUCUGCUUAAUGUGGAAGGGCUGGGGGCGACACUGCACAAUUUAGCAAAGAAAGGAAAUGCCUUUGGGACCAGGAAGAGAAUUACCAAAGGAAAGUGCUCAGGAGGGGUUGGGCGUGGGGAAGAGAGGGGUCAGCCUGAACCAAGGCGUGGUGCAGGGAUAGGUACCCCUGGGCAGACAGGCUGGGGUUAGGAAGGUACGAUGGCAGUUCAGAGUGUGCAGGGAGCUUUCGGGGACCACUAGACGUGGGGCUCGGAUGCCAAGGGGGAGGCUGGGGAACCCCUGCCUGCCCCCAGUGUUUCUGAAGGGACUGUUAGGAUGGAGCCGGGACUAAUGCCAGGAGAUCAGGAUGCCCGUCCUGUCCUGGGCAACUGCUGAGGAACAAGGGAGGCAGGGAGUGGGAGGAAUCCUCAGCUAGAAAUUGACUACGGGAUAUAGGACCAACCCCGUGUCAGUUUCCUUUUAUUUUAAAUGAAGGGGGAGGGGCAGCUAGGUGGCUCAGUGGAUAGAGCAUCUGCCCUGGAGUCAAGAGGACCUGAGUUCAAAUCUUGCCUCAGACACUUAACUCGUCCUGGCUGUGUGACCCAGGGCAAGUCACUUAACCCCAACUGCCUUCCAAAUAAAUAAAUGGAUGAAUGAAUGAAGGGUGGCCUGAGGUGAUCUCUAAUCCAAAAAUCCAUUGACCCUGGCCCAUGGUCUGUCCUUCCUCUGGAUCCUUAGUGCUGUCAGUAUCACUCACUGGGUCUGAGAUUACAGACUGCUAAUUGUACCUUUCUCUGUCCACUUCUCUCUACUUCCAUAGUUACUGGAAGAAAGGGACCUCACCUGCUGCAGUGAAGAAGAAAUGGGAGUUAGAGAAGAGAAGCCUUGGGUUGAGAACCUGGCUUUGGCACCUUCUGUGUGGCUUUAAGCCAUCUGUUUCUGCUCUCUGAGCCUUAUAAAUGAGGGCUGUCUAAAAAGCUUCUCGCUACAGUGAUAACGUCUGCCCUGACAAUAUUAGUUUGUUACAACAAACAAGGCAUUAUAAAAUGCUGUCACCUGACCGACUCUAUAAAUGUAUUAUUAUGAGUUCUUCUUAUUAGCUCUUUAUCCCCUAUGAUGCCCCACAUUUUGGGGUGACUCUUCCUCCAGAUCAGCAUCUUCUCUGGGAAUGACCGCCUUUGGGACGAGGCGCGAUCAGGGUCCCAUUUGUUAGGGAGUAACUUCACAGGCUUCAGAUUGUCAGAAUAGGAAGGUGCCUCAGAAAUGAAGUGGUCUGAAGGAGAGGCACAAGACAGACUUUAUUUUAGAACAAUCUUAGUCUUUAGAACUGAGAGCACAUACACAUUUUUAUGAGAUCACAAGGAUGCUUGGGAGACAAAGUGUUUUCAAAUGUAAAACAUGGCUCUCACAGUUUGAGAACAGGAACCCAGAAACCACAGAAUGUUCAAACAUCCCUGACAUUUUCUCACUAUUUCUUAAUCCACUCCUCCUUUGUAAGAAUGGGAAGCUGUGCCAGGUAGACUUGAAGCAAAACUCAGGCAAUCUCCUGUUUCUCUUUGUUUUAAAGAAGUGAAAUCUUUAGGUCGAAGUGCCUGGUACUUGCUUAUUUUACAAAUGGGGAAGCUGAGACCCAAAUUUAUCAAGAGAGCCAGAAGUAAGAUCUUGAGCAAUUGUCAAUUGUUUGCUGGGUGAACAUCAUUCCCUUUUUCAGAUAUACAAGUAAUAGAAUUCUCAUUUCAGCCAAGGCAUUAGGAUUUACUUUAGCUAACUAUGGAUAGAGAGUGGUACUUGGAGCUUGAAUUCUUCUUCAGAUUCUGUAAAAUGGGAAUUAUUUAAUAGCACCUAACUCACAGGUUAGUAACAGGAGCAAAUGAGCUGACAUAAAUAUAAAGUGCUUUACAAACCUUAAAGAAAUCAGUAAACACUAGCUAUUGUGAUUAUAAAGCAUUUUCCUUGCAACAAUCCUGAAUACAGUAUUUAAUUCUAUUUUCCAGAGGUGCUCAGGCUCAGAAGCAUUUAAAGGGCUUGCCCAAGAUCAUGCAAUUAGGAGAAGGACAGAUAACACAUUGGGUAACAAUAAAGUCAGGAAUCAAAGAGAUUUGGCAGUCUGGAAGGCUGGGCUUAACUUAAUGAUGAUAUUCAAUAGGAUUAAGGGGAGUUUACUUUGGGGUUUCUCAGGAUGGAAGACAGCAGAGUUUUUGGGACUGACUUCCAGCUCUGCAGUGGGACGUCCUAGCCCAAAGAGCAGCUUGUUCUCUGGCUCCAUCUUCCCAGGAAGGAGUGAUAGGUCGGUGCAGACCCUAUCUGGAAUAUCUGUCUAGUUCGGGAUGCCGGGGUUAAGAAGGCUUAAGACUUUGCCUUCUGGAUGCCCCGGGUUAAGACUCUUAGAGGGAGGACAAGCUGCAGGGCAAAGGCCAGCCCUGGGUCCGGGACAGGGGAAUGGGCUGAUAGCUGUCUUUUGAGGGUAUGCAGGGCUCUCCAGGAGGAGGGAGUAGCCUUUUUCUGGGUGGCCCCAGACGGCGGGCAGAAACCAAAAAGCAAAGUGAAGUCAGGCAAAGUCCCUUUGUCUGCCUGGGAAGAUGGUGGUUCCGGGCCCAGGGCGUCUCCAAGGCCCGCAGACUGCUCCCGGGGGGAUGCCCAGGAGCACGGCUUCUGGUCAUGGCGGCAAAUGCCGCGGCUCGGGCAAAAAGCAGGGCCUGGCAGAGUCAGACCAACGCAGGCUGGCUGGGGACGCGCCGGGGCCACCUCAGUGCGCUCCGGGGGGCCUCCCUUCUUCCCUCCAAUCAGCUGCCUCCCUUAUGGGCCCCCAAGGCAGGUGAGCUUCGGGUUUUCGGGCCUGAAAGGAACGAGGAGGGCUGCUCCUCCCCUGCCCCUCCCCCCUUUGUCCGGUUACUUGGGACCCUGGUCCAUCGUUAGCAUUUUCCCUCCCGUCACAUUCCAGCACGUCCGCACUCUCUCUCCGGCUCCCGGACGCCCAGUCGGGGUCCGAGGAGGGCCUGGGCCCCCCGUGGGGGCUCCUUCCCAGUCCGCACCAGCAGCUCCGGGACUCCUCCGCAGUCAGCUCACGACCAGGUUCCUUCUCCACCCCAACUCUCGCCUUCUUAGAGCGAAUCUGAAACCAGUUUCUCCACUCUGGGAACAGGAGUGGGUCAAAGCCCGUCCCACCCAACCGAACUUGCCCCGGGAGCCAGAAUUCCUAGCGAAAGGCGCGCCCAGAUUCCCAGUCCAGCUGCACUCCGCCCAGCUACUCGGAGGUCUAUAGCAAGGACGUGGUUGGCUAGGCUCAGUUUCUCCUUCGGUGAAAUGGGCACAAUAGGUCUCUAUGCUCAGCCUCCGCCUUCCAGCAAGUGCGUCUGGGUAAACGGCCCUGGGGAAUUUACUUAAUCACUGAACACCAGACUCCCCGCUGGGGACGGGGAGAGGGGAGGAGACAGGGGAAGGGUUGGGGGGCUGGGGCUGGCGCGUCCCCACCUCUCUUCCUAGAAGGCAUCAAGGCAGUCCGUGUUUUUUUCCUGGGGACAAUUCGCAGAAGGGACGGGGAGUGGUUGCUAGGGCAACGGAGUUGCGUCACCCCUCGGGGGAAGAGGCGGAGGCCGGUGGUGAGCCGGGGUUCUAUGGGCCGAGGGGCUGUUCUCCCUCGCGCACCACCCCGGGGACUUGCGGCAGGGCUCCGAGGGCGGAGGCGGGGGCGGAGCCUCUACAAUCAGCCAAUCCCGGCCGUCGACUACGAGAAAAACACGGCUGGAUAGUGGAGGCGAGAAGGGAAAGGCGGGUCCCGCCCCCUUCCGCCCCUCUCAUCUCCCACUCGGGUGACGUCACUGAAUCGCUAGCGACUCCUGGUGGCCUAUUGGUCCCGCGCAGGAGCUUCCGGUUCUUUUGACACAUCUGCUGGGUCUCUAUAGAAACCCUACAUCAGGAUGAAGGAGAUGGUCUCGGAGAAAUCUGGGAGGACUUAACGCCCGCCACUGUGAGCGGGACAAAGAUCCGUGGUCAUUCCAAAGGACCCAUGGUGCAAAGUGCAUCCCCCUCUGGGAGAGAACUGACCAGUGCCGGCCGGCAGACUGAAGCCUUAUGUUUUUACAUUCUAAUUUUUUCUUUUUGAGGGACAACAUUGUUAUAUGGAAAUAUAUUUUGUAUGAUCUCAUACAUAUAUUUAUCAUGCUGCUUGCCUUCUCAAUGAGUAAGGAAGGGCCUGGAGAGAGCAAGGGAGAGAAUGUGGAACUGAAAAUAAAUUUUAAAAAAUCAUAAA